GGGUGUAGCUCAGCGGAAGAGCGCCGGAUUUGGGUCCGGAGGCCGGAGGUUCAAUUCCUUCCACCCACCA
rnacentral:tRNA from 1 species